GAAGUAAAAGUCGUAACAAGGUUUCCGUAGGUGAACCUGCGGAAGGAUCAUUAACGAAUAUCUAUGGCGUUGGUUGUAGCUGGCUCUUAGGAGCAUUUGUGCACGCCCGUCAUUUAUAUCAUCUUUCCACCUGUGAACUAUGUGUAGGUCUGGAUACCUCUCGCUUUGGUGACAAGGCGGAUGCAAGGAUUGCUGCCAAGCUCUCUUUGAAUUUCCAGGUCUAUGUUUUUUACACACUCCAUUUGAAUGAUGUAGAAUGUAGUCAAUGGGCCUUCAAGCCUAUAAAAAACUAUACAACUUUCAGCAACGGAUCUCUUGGCUCUCGCAUCGAUGAAGAACGCAGCGAAAUGCGAUAAGUAAUGUGAAUUGCAGAAUUCAGUGAAUCAUCGAAUCUUUGAACGCACCUUGCGCUCCUUGGUAUUCCGAGGAGCAUGCCUGUUUGAGUGUCAUUAAAUUCUCAACCUCACCAAUCUUGUAACGAGACAGGUGAAGGCUUGGAUGUGGGGGUUUUGCAGGCUGCCUCAGUGCUGGUCUGCUCCCCUGAAAUGCAUUAGCGAGCUUAUACUGAGCUUCCGUCUAUUGGUGUGAUAAUUAUCUACGCCGUGGAUUUGGACYGGUGCUUGCUGCUAACCGUCCGCAAGGACAAUUUACUUGACCAAUUUGACCUCAAAUCAGGUAGGACUACCCGCUGAACUUAAGCAU
rnacentral:rRNA from 1 species